rnacentral:lncRNA from 1 species
CUCAAUCAGAGGUUUAUAGAGCCACGUGGGGACAUCACAUCUCCUGUCUACCAGGUCCUCACCAGAGACAGGACUGCCUUGGGCCAGGCCUGGGAUAGUCAGGGGUCACACUCGCCUGUUGGGACCUAGCAUCAGUGGCUUCAAUGUGGGCAAUGGCCUGAUGGGCGGCUGCCCCUUCUCUGCUUGGGGGAGGCAGGAGAGGAAGGUCAGGCAGGGGAUCUGCUUCCUGCCCACCUGAGGCUGGUUGGAAGCAGGAUGCCCACCUGUGCCUGUCUCACCUUGCUGCAGGUGCAUCGGAGACUGAACCCCUCUCCUGAUCUCCUGCAGGUGCAGAUUCCAGGUUUCCAAUGGGUGUUGGGGUGGGCUCCAGUGCUGUCCUGGCCCUAGGGAACCCUGGGCUCCAUAAGGCCUUGGCCUAGCCAGAUUGUUUUCCACACUGUCACCUCCCCAAACAUGGGGCUGCAUGCUCUGUGCCUUGGGUGGGACAUUGGAAGAAGUUCCACCUUCCAGGUUUGGAUCACAGUAAAGCCUCUGCCAUGGGGAUGUGCUGGCUGAGACAGAUGGGGUUGAACCAACCCUGUCACUUUGGCCUUGGGCAAGUCACCUGUGCCUUGCUUCCCUUUCCCCAGCAGCCAGAUGGGGAUAAUAGCACCUAUUUCACCUGUACUCAAGUGCUCACUUGUUAGCGGGAAUUGAGUCCCGGAGGAGGUGCAGGCAGAGCCAUGGAGGCAACACUGCAGCUGGACCUGGGCCUGAGUUGCAGCUCCUGGCUGUGAGAUGUGUCUCUUUCUCUGUUUAUUCAUCUGAAGGACAGGGCUGUGCUCUUCUGGGGUCACUGUGACAAUGCAGCUGGCCUGUGUGAGUUGGUGGUGGCCUCCUGAGAUGGUUUGAGGUGAGCUGGAGGUGUGUAUUGAAUGCCCCCUCACCCCUGUGGGGAAGACCCACUUAGGGAAGACUCAUGUGUCUGUAUGGAGGAAACCAGGUUCCCUGUCCCUCAGCUGUCAUCUGUCCCUUCCCAGCCCC